rnacentral:sRNA from 1 species
GCCAGGCGCGGUGGUGCACGCCUGUAAUCCCAGCAGCUCAGGAGGCUGAGGCAGGAGGAUCAUGAAUUCAAAGCCAGCCUCAGCAAUAGCAAGACACUAAGCAACUCACUGAGACCCUGUCUCUA